rnacentral:lncRNA from 10 species
AAAAAAAAAGAUCAGGUUCUGUGGCUGCUUUGAAUACCGGACUGGCUUCUCACUUGGCAGCAAAGGAGAUGGCACCUGACUCAGGGAGCAAUGGGGGUUUCUUUCUAAUGUGCUAAUCCCUUUAUGUUCAUAUCCUCAACUUCAAAACAUCAUUAGGAAGUGAGAAUACUCAUUUCCCAGGUGACGAAGUUGAGAGACAAUAAGGUGAAGAGGCAGCGUAGUUAAAUUACAACUACAGGGUUAGAAAGUGGCAGAAGCAGGAUUCCCGGCCAGCUCUGCCCAGCCCUAAACCUUUUCCCCCACAACUUCAUGCUGUUUCUCGUUCAUACUUAGCAUGGAUAAAGUGCAGUAGGAUGGAAUUAAUAGAUUCAUCUCCAGGUAAUGUGUUUAAUAUAGAGGGCAGACAUUCAAUUUGAGAAAUGGUAAAUCUCUAACCUUCUAAGAAAAUCAUUUAUUUAUUGAACCUUUCAUGCCAGGCACCGUAGAAGGGGCUAUGGCUAUGAAGAUGGAUGCAACAAGAUUCUUGCUUCUAGUUUACAUUCUAAUAGGGGAAAUCAGAAGUAAAAAUAAGGGCAACAAAGUGUAACAGACACCGUGAUAGAAACACAAAAAGUAUCCAAUAUAGGUCCAAGGGAAGGAUAGGUGAUCUUUUUUUUCUAGAAGGGUCAGGAAACACUAUACUACUAUAUUAAAGUACUAAUAACUAUAGGGCCACAUUAAGCAAUACUAAAGAGGAACAUUCAUUGCUCAUUCAGCAAACAUGAAACACCCAGUAUGCAUCAGUCACUGGGGCCCAUAUGGAUGACUAAUCCUCCCACCCUGCCUUCUGAACCUAUUCUUCUUGGCACCUUCCAAGGGGACCAUUUCUCUUAAGAUGUCCACAAACAGCUCCAGCUCAUGUAUCACUCAGCAGAAUCUAGUGGAUUUACUCUUACUGCAAACCUAACAGAGCAUACUGGGACUACUUUUCAAGACCCUUUGCAGAGUUCUGGGCAAUGGAAUGUGUGCUUCCUGGCCUCUGGACCAUGAAAAUUACCCAGGAGCAACCUUCCAUUCCACCCUCCCCCACCCCUCUUCUUUCUUGUCUCUCUCUCUCUGUGUGUGUGUGACUGUGAAUGUGUGUAUGUCUCUUUCUCUCUCUCCCUCUCCUCUACCCCAACACAGAUGGUGGUGCCACAGAUAGGAGGACUCUGGGUCCCUGAAUCACCACUUGGGGCAGGGAUAUCUGGUAGCAUUGGCCCAUUAUGUGAUCAAGAAAUAGAUUUCUAUUGCAUUGUCACUGAAACUUGGUCAUUGUCAGUUACAGCAAUCAACCUGCCCUUAACUAAUAUGGCAGCACAAGGAUAACCUUUACAACAAUGUUCCAUCUAAGUUACAAUAGGAAGUUUUCAGAGCAAUGGUGUGUGACUGCCCAGUAAAAUUCCCAGAAGACAGUUAAAGAUGAAGCAGUGCAGAGCAAAGUAAACCCACAAUGCAAAACAAGGGUUCAGGAAAGGCCACAAAAGCAAUAAUGGUUCCUUUAAUAAAUAAACUUUUUAACAGAAAUAUAUGAAUUCUUCUUUAUAAGUUGUUUUCCUCCAGGUUAGAUCUCUCCUGAUCUUUUGGUUGUCAUUGCUUUUCACACCCCAUCAUAAGACCAUGACUCAGGACACCCACUAGAACUUCUUACCCUUACACUAGGCCAUUGCCUCUGAAUCAGACUCCUGGAUUCCUAUUAACAAUAUACCCCAAAGUGGUUUCACAUCAACAAAAGCUCACACAUACAGGAGCCCAUGAGGCUUGGUGUUUGGAGUGAUGCUGGGCA